CUUGUGCCAGCCGCCGCGGUAAUACAGAGGGUGCAAGCGUUAAUCGGAAUUACUGGGCGUAAAGCGCGCGUAGGUGGUUCGUUAAGUUGGAUGUGAAAUCCCCGGGCUCAACCUGGGAACUGCAUUCAAAACUGACGAGCUAGAGUAUGGUAGAGGGUGGUGGAAUUUCCUGUGUAGCGGUGAAAUGCGUAGAUAUAGGAAGGAACACCAGUGGCGAAGGCGACCACCUGGACUGAUACUGACACUGAGGUGCGAAAGCGUGGGGAGCAAACAGGAUUAGAUAC
rnacentral:rRNA from 1 species